CAGAAAUAUUUAAAAUGUCGCUGUCUACAGGUUCCGAAGGAUUGGAGAGUGGCUCAUGUUGUUCCGUUGUUUAAAAAAGGAUCGAAAAGUAAUCCGGGAAAUUAUAGGCCGAUUGUCACUGUAAUAUCUUGAAAGGCUGAGACCUUGACUGGGACCUGAAAAAACGUGUAGCAACAGCACAGUUGAAGCAAGGGAGCCCCGGACAGAGGGAAGAAUCAUUUGCAGAGCAGUGGUGAAACGUGACAGAAAACCUUAACAGAAGUGUGGUGAUGAAAACACUGUGGGUUUCCAGUGGCUUCCAGGUUCGAGGUAACAAAAGAGGGGGCCGUGCACAAUCCUGAUUUGAUGGGGACAGCCGUGAGAAGCGCAGAGGAACACCUGGAGAAACUUCUGAAAUGCCCGCUUUGCUGCCGCUGCUACUGUGUGAUCGAGAAUCUCCGGAGGGGAAGGCCCCAAACCCUCGGCUUUGCCUAUUGCCUGUUGCCGGGGCCGGGGUCGAAGCGCUCGGCAGAGAUGGUGCUCGGUGCUCGGUGUCGGAGAGCUGGUCGGAGGCUCGGAGUUUUCGGACGGACUCGGAGUCGGACUGCGGUCGGAUGCUUCCAGGAUGCUGCAUCGGCAAGUUUGCAGCGCUGGAGGUUUACCGUCUGCGUGAGAUGAUGGGACUUUCGAGAGACUUUGAGACUUUUACUGUGCCCAUGGUCUGUUCUUAUCAAAUUACGGUAUUGCUUUGCACUGUUGUAACUAUAUACUAUAAUUAUGUGGUUUUUCUCAGUUUUUAAGUCGGUUUGUCAUGUGUUUCAGUGAUAUCAUUCUGGAAAAACAUUCUAUCAUUU